rnacentral:rRNA from 1 species
GACGAACGCUGGCGGCGUGCUUAACACAUGCAAGUCGAACGCUGAAGCUCAGCUUUUGUUGGGUGGAUGAGUGGCGAACGGGUGAGUAACACGUGAGUAACCUGCCUCCUUCUUUGGGAUAACGCCCGGAAACGGGUGCUAAUACUGGAUAUUCACUGGUCUUCGCAUGGGGGUUGGUGGAAAGGGUUUUUCUGGUGUGGGAUGGGCUCGCGGCCUAUCAGCUUGUUGGUGGGGUGAUGGCCUACCAAGGCUUUGACGGGUAGCCGGCCUGAGAGGGUGACCGGUAACAUUGGGACUGAGAUACGGCCCAGACUCCUACGGGAGGCAGCAGUGGGGAAUAUUGCACAAUGGGCGCAAGCCUGAUGCAGCGACGCCGCGUGAGGGAUGGAGGCCUUCGGGUUGUGAACCUCUUUCGCUCAUGGUCAAGCCGCAACAAUGGUUGUGGUGAGGGUAGUGGGUAAAGAAGCGCCGGCUAACUACGUG